rnacentral:misc_RNA from 1 species
GAAAUGCGAUAAGUAAUGUGAAUUGCAGAAUUCCGUGAAUCAUCGAAUCUUUGAACGCACAUUGCGCCCUCUGGUAUUCCGGGGGGCAUGCCUGUCCGAGCGUCAUUGCGAACCCCUCAAGCACGGCUUGUGUGAUGGGCCCUCCCGCGUCUUGGUCGUCAAGACGGGCCCGAAAAGCAGUGGCGGCUUCGCGGUUAUCCGAUCAGCCAGAGCGUAUGGGGACUUUCUCUCUGUCACACGCCCGCGGCGCGGACCGACGCCUGUCGACCAUUAUUCAUCUUUUUCUCGGUUGACCUCGCAUCAGGUAGGGAUACCCGCUGAACUUAAGC